GAUGAACGCUGGCGGCGUGCCUAAUACAUGCAAGUCGAGCGAACAGAUGAGGAGCUUGCUCCUCUGACGUUAGCGGCGGACGGGUGAGUAACACGUGGAUAACCUACCUAUAAGACUGGGAUAACUUCGGGAAACCGGAGCUAAUACCGGAUAAUAUAUUGAACCGCAUGGUUCAAUAGUGAAAGCCGGUUUUGCUGUCACUUAUAGAUGGAUCCGCGCCGCAUUAGCUAGUUGGUAAGGUAACGGCCUACCAAGGCAACGAUGCGUAGCCGACCUGAGAGGGUGAUCGGCCACACUGGAACUGAGACACGGUCCAGACUCCUACGGGAGGCAGCAGUAGGGAAUCUUCCGCAAUGGGCGAAAGCCUGACGGAGCAACGCCGCGUGAGUGAUGAAGGUCUUCGGAUCGUAAAACUCUGUUAUUAGGGAAGAACAAAUGUGUAAGUAACUAUGCACGUCUUGACGGUACCUAAUCAGAAAGCCACGGCUAACUACGUG
rnacentral:rRNA from 1 species